rnacentral:rRNA from 1 species
UACGUAGGGGGCUAGCGUUGUCCGGAAUCAUUGGGCGUAAAGAGCGUGUAGGCGGCCCGGUAAGUCCGCUGUGAAAGUCGGGGGGCUCAACCCUCGAAUGCCGGUGGAUACUGUCGGGCUAGAGUGCGGAAGAGGCGAGUGGAAUUCCUGGUGUAGCGGUGAAAUGCGCAGAUAUCAGGAAGAACACCAAUGGCGAAGGCAGCUCUCUGGGACGGUACUGACGCUGAGACGCGAAAAGCGUGGGGAGCGAACAGG